rnacentral:rRNA from 1 species
UCUCAGUUCGGAUUGGAGUCUGCAACCCGACUCCAUGAAGCUGGAUUCGCUAGUAAUCGCGCAUCAGCCAUGGCGCGGUGAAUACGUUCCCGGGCCUUGUACACACCGCCCGUCAAGCCAUGGGAGCCGGGGGCGCCUGAAGUCCGGGACCGCGAGGACCGGCCUAAGGCGAAACCGGUGACUGGGGCUAAGUCGUAACAAGGUACC